GAGUGGCGGACGGGUGAGUAAUGCUUGGGAACUUGCCUUUGCGAGGGGGAUAACAGUUGGAAACGACUGCUAAUACCGCAUAAUGUCUUCGGACCAAACGGGGCUUCGGCUCCGGCGCAAAGAGAGGCCCAAGUGAGAUUAGCUAGUUGGUAAGGUAACGGCUUACCAAGGCGACGAUCUCUAGCUGUUCUGAGAGGAAGAUCAGCCACACUGGGACUGAGACACGGCCCAGACUCCUACGGGAGGCAGCAGUGGGGAAUAUUGCACAAUGGGGGAAACCCUGAUGCAGCCAUGCCGCGUGUGUGAAGAAGGCCUUCGGGUUGUAAAGCACUUUCAGUUGUGAGGAAAAGUUAGUAGUUAAUACCUGCUAGCCGUGACGUUAACAACAGAAGAAGCACCGGCUAACUCCGUGCCAGCAGCCGCGGUAAUACGGAGGGUGCGAGCGUUAAUCGGAAUUACUGGGCGUAAAGCGCACGCAGGCGGUUUGUUAAGCUAGAUGUGAAAGCCCCGGGCUCAACCUGGGAUGGUCAUUUAGAACUGGCAGACUAGAGUCUUGGAGAGGGGAGUGGAAUUCCAGGUGUAGCGGUGAAAUGCGUAGAUAUCUGGAGGAACAUCAGUGGCGAAGGCGACUCCCUGGCCAAAGACUGACGCUCAUGUGCGAAAGUGUGGGUAGCGAACAGGAUUAGAUAUCCUGGUAGUCCACACCGUAAACGCUGUCUACUAGCUGUGUGUG
rnacentral:rRNA from 1 species